rnacentral:rRNA from 1 species
UCGAGAAUUUUUCUCAAUGGGGGAAACCCUGAAGGAGCGACGCCGCGUGGGGGAUGAAGGACUUCGGUUCGUAAACCCCUGUCACCUGGGAACAAAAGUUGCAACCCAACACGUUGCAAUCUGAUAGUACCAGGAGAGGAAGGCACGGCUAACUCUGUGCCAGCAGCCGCGGUAAUACAGAGGUGCCAAGCGUUGUUCGGAUUUAUUGGGCGUAAAGGGUGCGUAGGCGGUCAUACAAGUCGGAUGUGAAAUACCGGAGCCUAACUCCGGAAUGGCAUUCGAAACUGUAAGGCUCGAGAUCUGCAGAGGUGAUUGGAAUUCUCGGUGUAGCAGUGAAAUGCGUAGAUAUCGAGAGGAACACCAGAGGCGAAAGCGAAUCACUGGACAGAAUCUGACGCUGAGGCACGAAAGCUAGGGGAGCAAACGG